rnacentral:rRNA from 1 species
CCCUUAGAUGUCCUGGGCCGCACGCGCGCUACACUGAGUGUCUGAGAUACGAGUCUGCCUGGUCCGGCAAGGUCUAGGUAAUCGCUAAAAGACACAUCAUGCUUGGGAUAGAUUAUUGCAAAUAUUAAUCUUGAACGAGGAAUUCCUAAUAAGCGCAAGUCAACAGCUUGCGUUGAUUACGUCCCUGCCCUUUGUACACACCGCCCGUCGCUACUACUGAUUGGAUGUUUAAGCGAGGUUCUCGAACUGCUAGCGACUUAGCUUCGGUGAGGUCGCAGUGUGGGAAGUGAACCUAGCUUUGGUGUCUAGAGGAAGUAAAAGUCGUAACA